AACGAACGCUGGCGGCAUGCCUAACACAUGCAAGUCGAACGAGACCUUCGUGUCUAGUGGCGCUCGGGUGCGUAACGCGUGGGAACCUGCCCUUACGUUCGGAAUAACUCCCCGAAAGGUGUGCUAAUGACGGGUAAUAUCUUCGGACAAAAGAUUUAAUGCCUCAGGAUGGGGGCGAGUGGGUUUAGCCAGUUUGUAGGGUAAAAGCAUACCAGCGGGACGAUCCAUAGCUGGUCAGAGAGGAUGAUCAGCCACACCGGGACUGCGACACGGCCGAGAAUCUUACGGGAGGGGGGAGUGGGGGAUAUUGGAACAUGGGCGAAGGCCUGAUCCAGCUCUGCCGGGUGAGUGCUGAAGGCAUUAGGGUUGUAAAGCUCUUUUACCCGGGAACAUAAUGACAGUACCGGGAGAAUAAGCCCCGGCUAACUACGUG
rnacentral:rRNA from 1 species